AACGAACGCUGGCGGCAUGCCUAACACAUGCAAGUCGAACGAGACCUUCGGGUCUAGUUGCGCACGGGUGCGUAACGCGUGGGAACCUGCCCUUAGGUUCGGAAUAACUCCCCGAAAGGGGUGCUAAUACCGGAUAAUGUCUUCGGACCAAAGAUUUAUCGCCUUUGGAUGGGCCCGCGUUGGAUUAGCUAGUUGGUAGGGUAAAAGCCUACCAUGGCGACGAUCCAUAGCUGGUCUGAGAGGAUGAUCAGCCACACUGGGACUGAGAAACGGCGCAGACUCCUACGGAAGGCAGCAGUGGGGAAUAUUCGACAAAGGGCGAAAGACUGAUACAGCUAUGCCGCGUGAGUGAUGAAGGCCUUAGGGUUGUAAAGCUCUUUUUACCGGGAUGAUAAUGACAGUACCGGGAGAAUCAGCCCCGGCUAACUCCGUG
rnacentral:rRNA from 1 species